UACGGAGGGUGCGAGCGUUGUCCGGAAUCACUGGGCGUAAAGGGCGCGUAGGUGGCGACCCAAGUCAACGGUGAAAGCUCGGCGCUCAACGCCGAGUCGGCCGUCGAUACUGGGUUGCUCGAGCACUGUAGAGGCAGAUGGAAUUCCGGGUGUAGCGGUGAAAUGCGCAGAUAUCAGGAGGAACACCAAUGGCGAAGGCAGCUCGCUGGAACGGUACUGACGCUGAGGCGCGAAAGCGUGGGGAGCGAACAGG
rnacentral:rRNA from 1 species